UACGUAGGCAGCAAGCGUUGUUCGGAGUACUGGGCGUAAAGGGGGCGUUGGCGGCUCUAUAAGUAUGGUGUGAAAUCUCCCGGCUUAACUGGGAGGGUGCGCUAUAAACUGUGGGGCUAGAGUGCGGGAGAGGAAAGUGGAAUUCCUGGUGUAGCGGUGAAAUGCGUAGAUAUCAGGAGGAACACCGGUGGUGUAAACGGCUUUCUGGACCGUAACUGGCGCUGAUGCACGAAAGCGUGGGUAGCAAACAGG
rnacentral:rRNA from 1 species